GACGAACCGUGCGAACGUUAUUCGGAAUCAUUGGGCUUAAAGCGCGUGUAGGCGGGUUCGUGCGUCUGUCGCUGAAAUCCCCCGGCUCAACCGGGGAAGGGGCGCGGAUACGACGAGUCUGGAGGGGCAUAGGGGGACCUGGAACUUCCGGUGGAGCGGUGAAAUGCGUUGAGAUCGGAAGGAACGCCCGUGGCGAAAGCGAGGUCCUGGAUGCUUACUGACGCUGAGACGCGAAAGCCAGGGGAGCGAACGGGAUUAGAAACCCCCGUAGUCC
rnacentral:rRNA from 1 species